rnacentral:rRNA from 1 species
GAUGAACGCUGGCGGCGCGCCUAAUACAUGCAAGUCGAACGAGUUCUUCGGAACUAGUGGCGGACGGGUGAGUAACACGUUGGUACCUACCCCGAAGUGGGGAAUAACUGGCCGAAAAGUCGGCUAAUACCGCAUAAUACCGUAAGGUUAAAGCAGUAAUGCGCUUCGGGAGGGGCCUGCGUCUGAUUAGCUAGUUGGUAGUGUAAUGGAAUACCAAGGCGACGAUCAGUAGCUGGAUCGAGAGGUUGACCAGCCACACUGGGACUGAGAUACGGCCCAGACUCCUACGGGAGGCAGCAGUAAGGAAUCUUCCACAAUGGACGAAAGUCUGAUGGAGCAACGCCGCGUGCAGGAUGACGGCCUUCGGGUUGUAAACUGCUUUUAUAUGGGAAGAUUAUGACGGUACCAUAUGAAUAAGGACCGGCUAACUACGUGCCAGCCGCCGCAGUAA